ACGCAGAAACAGCGCGUGGACCGGCGACACCAACCAGUCCCACAGUGGGAGGGGAGACCCGAUCCCCGGACUGCCUGCCGAUCGAUCAGAUAUCGACAAGUGAUCGACACCUACUUACAACCCGAUUGACAUCUGAUCAACACCUGAUCAACACCUGAUCGGCACUGGACUGUGAGGAUCAAACUAAUUCUGACCAAAGGAAUUAAAGGCUCGGUGGAUAUUCAACGACCGUUGGAAAGAUGGGGAUGUUUCACUGGCAGGUGACCGGCUCUUAGCCACCCAAGAAAUUCACACCUACCCGAGGACUGUGUUUGCCGUUCGAACCUCUUCGCACCAUGAGUCAUCCCAGGGACAGCACGAACGGUCAAGACAUCCCAGCUGCAGGAUGGCUGCUGAAUAGACGCGAUGGAGAAAGCCGUCUCACCAGAGAGGUAUGAAUGGCCUGGUGCAAACCCUUCGGUACCAGCUGGGCUCUGACUGGACUCCCAAGUAGAGCGACUGACUGGAACCACACUGACUUUCUGUGCGUCUCAGGUGUUCUGAACAGAACAGAAACACUGAGAAGACUGAGCCUAGUGGCGAUCUCAUUUCGGUGGGUUUUUUUUCGCGCCGGUCAGAAAGGAGGACGUGGACACCGCUAAUGCGAUGCUUUGUAGGAAAUCUGAGGUGUUCAGACCGUGACAAACUGCCCAGUGAGAAGCUAAGCCAUG